GUUGCGCGGGGUUGUUGUUGGUAGUGGUGGCGGUGUGUGUGUGUAUUUACACUUAAAAAAUAACUGCGCAGUAUCCUUUCCUGGGAAGUUGGUUUGCCGCCGCUGCCUGGAUAUUAGCACAGAGAUAGCGCCAGGCCGGGCUUCUAAGAAUUCGCGCUUGUGGCUAUCCAAGACUCCGUCUCGAAAGGUGCUUGUCGGACUCCUUCACCGGAGUCCUCCAGGCGACUGGCGGCCUUCACUGGAAAGCUGAGGCCAGGGCCCUGGAAAUAUCUGGUAGCCAGGGAGGGGGAACCCCUACCAUCAACGCCACGGGUGUGCAUUGGUCAAAGGCAGCAUUGCCUGGACAUUACAGAUGGCGGAUCUUGUCAACACCUGCAGGGCACGGGUGCCCCAUCUGCCAAGGCUGCUCCCACACUCCCUACAC
rnacentral:lncRNA from 1 species